GGGUUGUGAGGUUAAGCGACUAAGCGUACACGGUGGAUGCCCUGGCAGUCAGAGGCGAUGAAGGACGUGCUAAUCUGCGAUAAGCGUCGGUAAGGUGAUAUGAACCGUUAUAACCGGCGAUUUCCGAAUGGGGAAACCCAGUGUGUUUCGACACACUAUCAUUAACUGAAUCCAUAGGUUAAUGAGGCGAACCGGGGGAACUGAAACAUCUAAGUACCCCGAGGAAAAGAAAUCAACCGAGAUUCCCCCAGUAGCGGCGAGCGAACGGGGAGGAGCCCAGAGCCUGAAUCAGUGUGUGUGUUAGUGGAAGCGUCUGGAAAGGCGCGCGAUACAGGGUGACAGCCCCGUACACAAAAAUGCACAUGCUGUGAGCUCGAUGAGUAGGGCGGGACACGUGGUAUCCUGUCUGAAUAUGGGGGGACCAUCCUCCAAGGCUAAAUACUCCUGACUGACCGAUAGUGAACCAGUACCGUGAGGGAAAGGCGAAAAGAACCCCGGCGAGGGGAGUGAAAAAGAACCUGAAACCGUGUACGUACAAGCAGUGGGAGCACGCUUCGGCGUGUGACUGCGUACCUUUUGUAUAAUGGGUCAGCGACUUAUAUUCUGUAGCAAGGUUAACCGAAUAGGGGAGCCGAAGGGAAACCGAGUCUUAACUGGGCGUUAAGUUGCAGGGUAUAGACCCGAAACCCGGUGAUCUAGCCAUGGGCAGGUUGAAGGUUGGGUAACACUAACUGGAGGACCGAACCGACUAAUGUUGAAAAAUUAGCGGAUGACUUGUGGCUGGGGGUGAAAGGCCAAUCAAACCGGGAGAUAGCUGGUUCUCCCCGAAAGCUAUUUAGGUAGCGCCUCGUGAACUCAUCUCCGGGGGUAGAGCACUGUUUCGGCAAGGGGGUCAUCCCGACUUACCAACCCGAUGCAAACUGCGAAUACCGGAGAAUGUUAUCACGGGAGACACACGGCGGGUGCUAACGUCCGUCGUGAAGAGGGAAACAACCCAGACCGCCAGCUAAGGUCCCAAAGUCAUGGUUAAGUGGGAAACGAUGUGGGAAGGCCCAGACAGCCAGGAUGUUGGCUUAGAAGCAGCCAUCAUUUAAAGAAAGCGUAAUAGCUCACUGGUCGAGUCGGCCUGCGCGGAAGAUGUAACGGGGCUAAACCAUGCACCGAAGCUGCGGCAGCGACGCUUAUGCGUUGUUGGGUAGGGGAGCGUUCUGUAAGCCUGUGAAGGUGUGCUGUGAGGCAUGCUGGAGGUAUCAGAAGUGCGAAUGCUGACAUAAGUAACGAUAAAGCGGGUGAAAAGCCCGCUCGCCGGAAGACCAAGGGUUCCUGUCCAACGUUAAUCGGGGCAGGGUGAGUCGACCCCUAAGGCGAGGCCGAAAGGCGUAGUCGAUGGGAAACAGGUUAAUAUUCCUGUACUUGGUGUUACUGCGAAGGGGGGACGGAGAAGGCUAUGUUGGCCGGGCGACGGUUGUCCCGGUUUAAGCGUGUAGGCUGGUUUUCCAGGCAAAUCCGGAAAAUCAAGGCUGAGGCGUGAUGACGAGGCACUACGGUGCUGAAGCAACAAAUGCCCUGCUUCCAGGAAAAGCCUCUAAGCAUCAGGUAACAUCAAAUCGUACCCCAAACCGACACAGGUGGUCAGGUAGAGAAUACCAAGGCGCUUGAGAGAACUCGGGUGAAGGAACUAGGCAAAAUGGUGCCGUAACUUCGGGAGAAGGCACGCUGAUAUGUAGGUGAAGUCCCUCGCGGAUGGAGCUGAAAUCAGUCGAAGAUACCAGCUGGCUGCAACUGUUUAUUAAAAACACAGCACUGUGCAAACACGAAAGUGGACGUAUACGGUGUGACGCCUGCCCGGUGCCGGAAGGUUAAUUGAUGGGGUCAGCGCAAGCGAAGCUCUUGAUCGAAGCCCCGGUAAACGGCGGCCGUAACUAUAACGGUCCUAAGGUAGCGAAAUUCCUUGUCGGGUAAGUUCCGACCUGCACGAAUGGCGUAAUGAUGGCCAGGCUGUCUCCACCCGAGACUCAGUGAAAUUGAACUCGCUGUGAAGAUGCAGUGUACCCGCGGCAAGACGGAAAGACCCCGUGAACCUUUACUAUAGCUUGACACUGAACAUUGAGCCUUGAUGUGUAGGAUAGGUGGGAGGCUUGGAAGUGUGGACGCCAGUCUGCAUGGAGCCGACCUUGAAAUACCACCCUUUAAUGUUUGAUGUUCUAACGUUGACCCGUAAUCCGGGUUGCGGACAGUGUCUGGUGGGUAGUUUGACUGGGGCGGUCUCCUCCUAAAGAGUAACGGAGGAGCACGAAGGUUGGCUAAUCCUGGUCGGACAUCAGGAGGUUAGUGCAAUGGCAUAAGCCAGCUUGACUGCGAGCGUGACGGCGCGAGCAGGUGCGAAAGCAGGUCAUAGUGAUCCGGUGGUUCUGAAUGGAAGGGCCAUCGCUCAACGGAUAAAAGGUACUCCGGGGAUAACAGGCUGAUACCGCCCAAGAGUUCAUAUCGACGGCGGUGUUUGGCACCUCGAUGUCGGCUCAUCACAUCCUGGGGCUGAAGUAGGUCCCAAGGGUAUGGCUGUUCGCCAUUUAAAGUGGUACGCGAGCUGGGUUUAGAACGUCGUGAGACAGUUCGGUCCCUAUCUGCCGUGGGCGCUGGAGAACUGAGGGGGGCUGCUCCUAGUACGAGAGGACCGGAGUGGACGCAUCACUGGUGUUCGGGUUGUCAUGCCAAUGGCACUGCCCGGUAGCUAAAUGCGGAAGAGAUAAGUGCUGAAAGCAUCUAAGCACGAAACUUGCCCCGAGAUGAGUUCUCCCUGACUCCUUGAGAGUCCUGAAGGAACGUUGAAGACGACGACGUUGAUAGGCCGGGUGUGUAAGCGCAGCGAUGCGUUGAGCUAACCGGUACUAAUGAACCGUGAGGCUUAACCUUACAACGCCGAAGCUGUU
rnacentral:rRNA from 1 species